GCGAGUUUUCAACUCCCAACCCUUGCGAACCGUACCCCGUUCUGUUCUCGUUGCUUCUGGCGGGAGGGGGGGGGCGCGUCCUUCGGGGCGCGCUCCUCUCUCCCAGGUCCCUUCGGGGCGCCCGCCAGCGGCCGCGAGCCGCCCGAACCUUUUAUAAACUGUAACUGAAACGUCUGAGAAACAAACAAAAACAGCCA
rnacentral:misc_RNA from 1 species